AUUGAACGCUGGCGGCAGGCCUAACACAUGCAAGUCGAGCGGUAGAGAGGUGCUUGCAUCUCUUGAGAGCGGCGGACGGGUGAGUAAUGCCUAGGAAUCUGCCUAGUGGUGGGGGAUAACGUUCGGAAACGGACGCUAAUACCGCAUACGUCCUACGGGAGAAAGCGGGGGAGUCUUCGGACCUCGCGCCAUUAGAUGAGCCUAGGUCGGAUUAGCUAGUUGGUGAGGUAAUGGCUCACCAAGGCGACGAUCCGUAACUGGUCUGAGAGGAUGAUCAGUCACACUGGAACUGAGACACGGUCCAGACUCCUACGGGAGGCAGCAGUGGGGGAAUAUUGGACAAUAGGGCGAAAGACCUGAUCCAGCCAUGCCGCGUGUGUGAAGAAGGUCUUCGGAUUGUAAAGACACUUUAAGUUGGGUAGGAAGGGCAGUUACCUAAUACGUGAUUGUUUUGUACGUUACCGACAGAAUAAG
rnacentral:rRNA from 1 species